rnacentral:rRNA from 1 species
GAUGAACGCUGGCGGCGUGCCUAAUACAUGCGAGUCGAGCGAACAGACGAGGAGCUUGCUCCUCUGACGUUAGCGGCGGACGGGUGAGUAACACGUGGAUAACCUACCUAUAAGACUGGGAUAACUUCGAGAAACCGGAGCUAAUACUGGAUAAUAUAUUGAACCGCAUGGUUCAAUAGUGAAAGACGGUUUUGCUGUCACUUCUCGAUGGAUCCGCGCCGCAUUAGCGAGUUGGUAAAGUAACGGCUUACCAAGGCGACGAUGCGUAGCCGACCUGAGAGGGUGGUCGGCCACACUGGAACUGCGACACGGUCCAGACUCCGACGGGAGGCAGCCGUAGGCAAUCUUCCGCAGUGGGCGAUAGCCUGACGGAGCAACGCCGCGUGAGUGAUGAAGGUCUUCGGAUCGUGAAACUCUGUUAUUAGGGAAGAACAAAUGUGUAAGUAACUACGCACGUCUUGACGGUACCUAAACAGAAAGCCCCGGCUAACUACGUG